AUUGAACGCUGGCGGCAUGCUUUACACAUGCAAGUCGAGCGGCAGCACGGGGGCAACCCUGGUGGCGAGCGGCGAACGGGUGAGUAAUACAUCGGAACAUGCCCAGUCGUGGGGGAUAACACUUCGAAAGAAGUGCUAAUACCGCAUACGUCCUGAGGGGGAAAGCGGGGGAUCGCAAGACCUCGCGCGAUUGGAGUGGCCGAUGUCGGAUUAGCUAGUUGGUGGGGUAAAGGCCUACCAAGGCAACGAUCUGUAGCUGGUCUGAGAGGAUGAUCAGCCACACUGGGACUGAGACACGGCCCAGACUCCUACGGGAGGCAGCAGUGGGGAAUUUUGGACAAUGGGGGCAACCCUGAUCCAGCCAUUCCGCGUGAGUGAAGAAGGCCUUCGGGUUGUAAAGCUCUUUCGGCAGGAACGAAACGGUGAGCUCUAACAUAGCUUGCUAAUGACGGUACCUGAAGAAGAAGCACCGGCUAACUACGUG
rnacentral:rRNA from 1 species